rnacentral:rRNA from 1 species
GACGAACGCUGGCGGCGUGCUUAACACAUGCAAGUCGAGCGAACAAAGCUCCUUCGGGAGUGGAGUUAGCGGCGGACGGGUGAGUAACACGUGGGUAACCUGCCUUAUAGAGGGGGAUAGCCUUCCGAAAGGAGGAUUAAUACCGCAUAAGAAGUAGAAGUCGCAUGGCUUUAGCUUUAAAGGAGCAAUCCGCUAUAAGAUGGACCCGCGGCGCAUUAGCUAGUUGGUGGGGUAACGGCUCACCAAGGCGACGAUGCGUAGCCGACCUGAGAGGGUGAUCGGCCACAUUGGAACUGAGACACGGUCCAGACUCCUACGGGAGGCAGCAGUGGGGAAUAUUGCACAAUGGGCGCAAGCCUGAUGCAGCGACGCCGCGUGAGCGAAGAAGUAUUUCGGUAUGUAAAGCUCUAUCAGCAGGGAAGAAAAUGACGGUACCUGACUAAGAAGCUCCGGCUAAAUACGUG